GUGCUCGCUUUGGCGGCAGAGAUAAUAAAACUGGAACGAUACAGAGAAAAUUAGCACGGCCCCUGCGCAAGGAUGACACGCAAAUUCGUGAUGCGUUCCAUGGUUUU
ensembl:snRNA U6 U6 spliceosomal RNA